rnacentral:rRNA from 1 species
UACGUAGGUGGCAAGCGUUGUCCGGAUUUAUUGGGCUUAAAGGGUGCGUAGGCGGCUCUGUAAGUCAGUGCUGAAAUAUCCCAGCUUAACUGGGAGGGUGGCAUUGAUACUGCGGGGCUAGAGUACAGAUGAGGUAGGCGGAAUUGACGGUGUAGCGGUGAAAUGCUUAGAUAUCGUCAAGAACACCUAUAGCGAAGGCAGCUUACUAGGCUGUAACUGACGCUGAGGCACGAAAGUGUGGGGAGCAAACAGG